GGCAGAGAGAGAGGGAGAUACAGAAUCCAAAGCAGGCUCCAGGCUCUGAGCUGUCAGCACAGAGCCCAACGAGGGGCUCGAACCCAUGAACAUGAGAUCAUGACCUGAGCCCAAGUUGGAUGCUUAACUGACUGAGCCACCCAGGCAUCCCUUUUUCUACUUGUCUAAAUUUUUCCAACAUUUCAUAGGAAUUUGCAUUACUUUUGGAAUCAGAAAAAUUGCUUGUAUAUAAAGAUUACACAUUGAUUCUAUUUAAAAAUUUUUUUAAUGUUUAUUUGUAAGAGAGAGAGAGAGACAGACUGUGAGCUGGGGAGGGGCAGACAGAGAGGCAGACACAGAAUCUGCAGCCCGUUUCAGGCUCUGAACUGUCAGCACAGAACCCCACACAAGGCUCCAACUCACAAACAGUGAGAUCAUAUCCUGAGUUGAAGUCAGACACUGAACUGACUGAGCCACCCAGGGGCCCCAAGAUUAAACAUUGAUUUUAAAUAAGGACUGGCUAACACGAUUCAGAAGGAUGGUCUUGAAAACCUGAUUGGGAGGACUAAAUACUUCGGAGGCAGAAGUGACAAACAUUUGGGCUAACUGGAUAUGGGAGAAAGAAGGAGGCAAGAGUCAAAGAUCUGUAUUCUUCCUCACUCCCUUCUCCUUGGCAGCAGGUGGAGCAAUCCUAUUAAAAUAAAAUCCAGAUCAAUUUCCUCCUCUGCUCUAAACCCUCCAGUGGCUCCCACCUGACUCAGAAUAAAAGCCAGAAUCCUUAGCCACUUACAGGGACCCACAUACCGAACUUAGGGUUAUCCCUGACAUGGUGGUCUUACCCUCUCCUUCCUUCUGCCCUCUGCUCCGACUGCCUCACUGUGCUGAACAUGCCCCAGGACCUUUGUACUUACCAUCUCCUUGCCUGCAAUGCUUUGUGAAAUCUCUGUGUUUUGCUCCCCUCACCUAUUCCCUUCUCACCGAGGCCUUUUCCUGGGCACCCUCUCCAAAACUGCAAUCCUCUGGCACUCCCAUCCUUUUGUUGCUUAAUAUUUAUCCCCAGAACACAUCAUAACUAUAUAUUUUACUUACUUGUUUGGUUUUUGUCUCUUCCAUUAGCAUAUAAAUUGCAGGAGGGCAGGGGUUUUGUUUUGUUCACAGCUCCUGGCACGGUAUUAAUACUGAGUAAAUGCUUGUUGAAUCUAAAUAAAGAACUCAAGUGUUCCAUUUACCUCCAGGGAACAUCAGAUCUGCCAUCAUUUAGUAAAAGGCAUUUGGUGGCUUGACUCUUUUCAAUUGUAAAUUCUCUUGGUUCAUUUAAAGUUACAGUCCAUUUUUAAGGAUUCCAUUUCCACGUGAUUUGUUGGUUUGUUUUCAGGAACAACAUCACUCUGUUUGUGGCUUCCAGGCUGAUGUCCCCACCUCACCAGGGGACGCCAGACGAGGAUGUCGGCCCCUGAGACUUUCCUAGGAGAAGCAUGGCUAACACCGUGGAGUGUUUCCACGGCCAGGAGCUAGCUAGCUGCUCUGUGUAUCUCAUCUGCUUUCUCUCUUACUCUCGAGAGCCAGCCUCUGAGGGAAGCAUGGUCAUUGUCUCCAUUUCUCAGGUGCCUGGGUACCCGUGGGCCACACCGGUGACCACAUGGCCCCGCAGAAAACAGGGGAAGGCACUGCACAGCCAGCCACUGGCAAGACAGGGUUGAGGGGAAAUCACUGCUUCUGGUCCUUCGGGCAAAUUACCUACCGCAUCUGAGGCUAGUUUCUUUAUCAGUGAAACGAAGGUAACAUCUGCUUACCUGCUAGUGGGUGCUAGUGGGACCGGCUGGAAUUCAUGAAACCCCGGUGAGUGCUAAGUGUUUUGUUGGUAAGUUACUAGGAGCGAUGGAGUGUUAGAGGGUUUCCAGUGAGGAUGUGCGGGCAGGGUGAUGGAUAAAGAGAUCAGUUUGCACUGUUGACAUUGAACCGCGUCUGUGAUGCACUUGCAGCCUUCAGAGUCGGAAGCCGGGCGGGAGCCUGUUCUGAGCCCCCGAGGCCAGCGCACCGAAGGGACCCUCAGAUGUUCCCCAGAAUGUGUCCCUCUCCUCACCGAGCCAGAGCCUGUCCCCUGCUGUGACAGAUACCUAACAAGACUCGUUGACACUCUAACUGUUUGCUCCCAAGUGGCCCAUAAGAACAUUAUUUAUUUUUUAAAUAAAGAUCUGCAGACCAGCUCUCCACAAAGUAAGGUUGGGGACGGCCCAAGUCGACUGAAGAGCUGGCCUGGAGCAGGUGUGCUGGGAAGGGGUUAACGGCCGGCUCUCUGGGGGCAGAGUGCUUCACGGGCCACACACACUAUAGAGUAACUCGCAUAAAGGAUGUAUAUAGAGCACACAAAGUACAAUAACUUUAUCCCUUAUUCCAAUCAGUAGAGAUGUCACUGACGUCACCGAAAAAUGAGUGCCGCUCUGAUAUGAAUGUUAGCUGAGGUUUGUAAAAUUUUUAAUUUAAUAUUUUUGCUUUUAGAGAGUGCUUAUGUGUGCACACAAGCAGGGAAGGGGCAGAGGGAGAGAGAGUCUUUUUUUUUUUUUUUUUUUUAAUGCUUUGGCUUUUGAGAGAGAGGGUGAGCGGGGGAAGGGCAGAGAUCGAGGGAGACAGAGGAUCUCAAGCAGGCUCUGCACUGACAACAGGGAGUGCAACGUGGGGCUCGAACUCACAAACCAUGAGAUUAUGACCUGAGCUGAAGUUGGACGCUCAACCAACUGAGCCCCCGAGGCGCCCGAGAGAGAGAACCUUAAGCAGACUCCACGCUCAGUGUGGAGCCUGACGUGGGGCUCGGUCCCAUGACCCUGGGAUCAUGACCUGCGUGGAAAUCAGGAGUUGACGCUCAACGCUUAGCACACUGAGCCCCCCGGGUGCCCCAUGCUGCUGGUUUCAUUUAUGUUAACGAGUAAGACAGAUCCUAAACGAAGGAGGUUUGUGUCAGAACAUCCCUGCCCGUCAUGCCACAAGUGAAUUCUUUGCCGAAUUGGCUCAUGGCGGGUCAGGUGUGGAAAGACUCCUUCCCUCAUGUUUCUGUGCUAGUCACGUCGUGGCUGCAGGCACGAAACUUUUAGUUUGUAUUCUUCACGUCUCUCCACCACUUUCUUAAUCCUAGAUGAUCAAGAAAACAAUAGAUCAAGUUUGCUCAUAUCUGGGAGCACAUACCCCCCCCCCCCCGACGGCCGCUUGUGAGCUCUCAGUGUGAUGUUGCUGAGCUGAGUCAUGAAGACAGGUGCUUCUUCCCGGUAGCUGGUGUUGCCAUCGUUCAGAUGGCGGGGAAAAAUGGAAGAGUGUGGAUUAACGGUGAAACACAGUAGGUAAUGACUGAGUUUUGAUGACUGAUUACCUUUGUUUUUACCAAAGCUCAUUAAUUUUAGUAAUGAUUCUAUUUAACAGCAAAAUUCUGAAAAUGGGGCAGUGGGUUCUCGCGGGUGAUGUCAAGCUGGCUGCAGCAGGUGUGGCCACAGGGACCCUACACCGAGGGGAGCUCUGCCCCCCAGGAUGUCCGGAGGAGAGCCAGUUGCCGGGUGUCCUCUGAGGCCCUGUGGGGUCAGGUGGUUGUUAGGGCCCUUGAAAGCCAUGAACGACCUAUCCUUCCUCAUCCUCCACAUUCCCGCCUGGCGAGGAAGCCCGUCAGGAAGCCGUCCUGACUGGCAGGCUGGAGACCAGGCGUGAAUUUGGGGACAUGAGGGAGAAUGUCACUCUGUUGCCCCACCCUCGCACACACGGGCACCCUACUAUCCUCCUAGUUUCCUCUUAGGACAUGGCUGGGACUGGAGUCCCAGACCGGGGACACCCAUUACUGUUUUGGAGGUGUGUGUCUUUGGGCCAAGUAUUCUCCUGAGUCUCUGAGCCUCAUUUUCCUCAGAGCACAAUGGGGAUGCUCUGGCCAAUGGCUGUGAGGAGAGGGAUGGACAGGAGGCAGCUCACAGCUGCAUCCUCCACAGACCCCAGGGGCUGGGGUAGUUUUUCCCGCACCAGAGUUCUUCAUGAGAGCUUCAGGGAGCUGGAAACGUCCUCAUAUCUCCAGAUCCCAUGACAAAGAGGAAUGACUUCCAUCUUCCACAAUUCAGGGGUGAGCGCAGCACCCAGGAGCUGUGCAUUCUCAGCCAGAAGGACUUGCAGGGGAACAAAGUUGACGGUGUUGAGCAGGCCUUCCAGAGUGUUCUGUGAUCAGCCCCAGACUGAGCUUCUUCACUCUUUUUCCAUCUCUGUUUCACUCUUUUUCCGUCUCUGUUUCACUCUUUUCCACCUUUUUGGGUUUGGUCACUCUGAGCGGUAUGCAGGAGGCAUUUACUGUGGGGAAUCAGGCCACAUGCGGUUGUGGGAGCUGGUGAAGAAGUCCAGGGAAGGCUGUGCCUCUGGGUGGGCAGGGCUGGCUGUUGUAGAGAAAAGCAGAUGUGAAUGGGGGCAAGGAGAGGCUGGAAACCACGGGCACAGAGUGGCCCUGAGUCUAUCACCUCCCACCUCUGUGACAUGGUGACCUGUUGGAGCUGGCUGCACACAUACCUAGUCCGGGGCUCGGAACCCAUCAAUGAAACAGAGGCGCCACUGGAUGGUUUCUGUCUGAGCCAACAGUGGGCACCGGCCACCCAAUGACACUGUGGGAGCCACGAAAGCACCCAGCUUAGCCAAGUUGAUGUGGUGAAAAGCCACCACCGCACUAUGCUUCUGGAGUACCAAGUGCUUUUGGACCUUCUUGUCGUUCUUCCAGGUUCCUAUGCCUCUGCAUGGAGUGUUUGCUCCAGCCAUGGCACCUGGAAAACUCCUACAGCACCUUCAAAACCCUGCAGAGACAUCACCUCCUCUGAGAAGAAUUCCCUGACACCUGCCCUCCAGGACUAGCCCUGUACUUCACACAUGGUGACUGCCUCUGUUGUACCUGAGACAUGCCUCAAGGGGACAAGCUGUGCCUGUUUGACAGCUCAGGAAUUUAAACAUGCCUUUGUGGGAUGAAAUCGAAUACAUCAGUUCAUGAUGCUCUGCCAGCCAAGCUGGGGCUUCUGGUGUCCUGGGGCCAUGUGAACGGAGCAGAGACACCGCCAGCGCCUAUGUUCUCCGGGACCUUCUUGAGCUGUGGCCGCUGCUCCCAGGGUGUGCAAAGUCCCAGGCAGCUGAUGCGGACCCGUGUCUGUGGCGCCCAUGAAAGACGGUGCUUUCAUGAGAGCGGCCUGCCCUUUCUGAGCCCUUCUGCGAGCCGUGGGAUUCCAAAUGCUCUGAAUGCAUUAGCUGACGCUCACACGGUCCCCAUGAGAUAGACGCCCUGCGGCAGAUGAGGAAGCCAGCCUGGAGGAUCACAGUGUAAGGGGAAGUUCUAGAGCAAAGACGAGAAGGAGGGAUCUGUGUGUGGCAGGAUAGGGCCAAGAAUACACUCCAGGUGAACCUGUACCGAGCUCCGGGAACGAGAGUGUCUGGGUAUGCAGAGCCACUUUCAGUAACAGAAGGUAGGUGGUGGACAAGUAACCUCACUCUUCUGCUAGAAGAUGCUGGUCUUCCAGCAGCUCUUACCAAAUGGGCUUUUGCGGCACUAGUCAAACGUUCUAAGACUUUUGUGCCAUAGCAGCAGAAUCUGUGUUCUCUGUCCCCUCUCCUUUGGGUGAAGAUGCCUAAUUGUGAUAUUGGCAGGCUGCGUAGGGACUGCUGGCCCAUCGCAGAUCGGCCUCUGUCCCGGUGCUGGGGCAAGUGGCCGGAGUGGUCACCCUGGGACCAGACAGGCAUGAACCCCUUCCAAGGCUCCUGAGGCCUCACACCCCACCACUAAUGCUUUGUUCCUGUUCUACUCUUUUUGGCAGAGGGAAGAGCGACACAAGGCUCUUGAGUCCUUGACUAUUUUGUCAGACACACUACAGUUUGGUAAACUGAGAACUUGGGGCCAUGGUUCUGGCUGAUUCAGGCUGUGUGGGGCUGAGCCUCCUCUGAAGUCCAGGGGUCCUGGACUGUCCAGCCUGGCUCCCCUGCAGAGGGGGCAGCCCCUACUUUAUUAAGGUUUAUACUACAAACUGAGGGUCGACCACUGAUGCCUUUGGAACAUUCGGCUUUCCUGACUCACAGAAACCCUGAGGUACAGAAAUCCCAGGGGAACACACUACACAGUCGUCUGGGGCUAGUCUCUUGUUCCGAUUUUUUUUAUGUUCAUGUGUCUCCCUCCCCGUAAUCCCUCCAACAAACAAAUACAUGAGCCAGUCCACAUAUGCUCACCGAAUUCCUGUUUGCACAGAUACAACAUAAAUAUCCCAUGUGCAGAGAGCAGGGACUCUUAAUAUUACAAAAUAUAUUAGUUUCUCUUCCCCUGUCUCUGCUGAGGUCAUGAAUGAAAUGGAACAAAACAAAAAAAAGCAAACCAACCCACACCCACCUACAUGAAAACAAAAUGCUCUUUGGACCAAGAGUAAUUGAAAACUGGCUCAGGAUAAGAUCACUACAACAUCUGCAUGAACGGAGACAGAAUCCACAACACGAGGCACCUGGUGAGAACAAGCAGCAUCUCACCCAAGUGCAAGCCCUCUCAGACCCACCAGGCAGCAAGCUGAUGUUUCUAGAACACACGUGGGGAUGCUCAGGCAUCGUGUGAGGUCAUCCUUGUCCCCUCAGUU